CUGGUUAGUGUUUAAAAAAUUUUUAUAGGAAACUCUUUACAGGUGGAGAAACUAAGGCAUGGAAACUUAACCCUUUCAAGUUCAAGGCUGAAUUUAAUAUUCUAGGUAGAAAUAGAAUUUAGGGCUCUGUGCUCAGGCAAAUGGGUGAUAUCUUUCCAAAGAGAAAAAUAUAUUUAUUUUGGUAUGUGAUAUUAAUAAGUUGUUUUUGAAAUAUACAAUAUGAAUUUUUUGAAAAUCUUUGGCAUUUUUAGUUCUAUAGAGGCUCAGGUUUGUAGGUAUUUUCUCGCCAAAAUAUAAAAUGGGAAGGGGAGCUAGCUUUUAAAUUAAAAUAGGAUUAAUCCAAAAUGACCUGGGUUCAUUCUACACUAUUACAUAUCCAGCCCUAUGGAGGCCUGUGAGGCACAGCGGAGGCCACCGCCCUCCUCGCAGCUUACACUUAGCUGCUGCUGUGAAGCGGAUAUAAGUGGAACCUACUCCACACUCACAGAAAGUGCAAAAUUCAACAGGAUGCCUCUGUCUAACUUUUCACAAGCUCAGUUGUUUGAACAUGUCACACUUGUUACAGUGAGACCACAGGUACUGCUGUGGUCUGAAGUGGCCCAAACCCACGUGCUCCAUCCAUCCAACAUGAAAACCUCUCCCCACUGAGGAGUGAACUGUGACGUCAGAGCUCACAGGGACGUCUUUCCCCAGGCGUAUGUUUUUAAUCACAAAACUUUCACUCUCUGAAGUUGCCUUUGUGAGAGCUCAGUGGCACUGGCUUAUAAUCUGUAUCAGGAAACCGUCGCGGUGGCUUCAACACUACAUCAGGCAACUUUUCACCUCUGCCGAAGCCAACAGCCUCAAUAUUAAAGCACGUCUUCUUCCUUUAUUCCCAGCCAUCAAAACUAGUUAUACCAGAAGAGGGGGCAAACUCUGCUCACUAAGUCUCGAACCUUGGACAAAAGCUGUGCAAACCAAGUACCGGCCGGGCAACCAGGGGUGCGAGCGGCAGGUUCAGGAACUCGGGUAGCACCUGGGAGGUACGCGCACCUCCCCGCACCCGGCCGGGAGCUCUGAGCACGGCCGGCCCCGCCUCCUCAGCUAGGCCCCGCCCCCUGGGCCAGAAAGCUCCUUAGCCCUUGGCAGGCGCCCUACUUAUGGCCCCAGGCGCCGUACUUAUCCUCGGAAGCGCCGGGUCGGACUUUUUCUGCGUCAGCUAGGAGUGUGCGACGUGCCCAGCCAGUUGGGCCCGGCGCUUCCCACCCAGCUCCCGGGUCUCUAUGGCCGGACCCCAGGUGGGGAAAGGGCCUCCUCCGGUGUAUCCAGUCCGCAGCAGUCGCAGCCGCGAUAAAGGGCGCCGGCGCUGUGUCAGACAUGGCUAAAUAUUCACACGAUGAAUUAUUACUCAGUAGUGAAAGUUGAACUACGAGUGGGUAUAGAAAAUGUAAUGCUGAGUGAGCGGAAGCA
rnacentral:lncRNA from 1 species